rnacentral:rRNA from 1 species
UACGUAGGGGGCAAGCGUUGUCCGGAAUUAUUGGGCGUAAAGAGCUUGUAGGCGGUCUGUCGCGUCUGCUGUGAAAAUCCGGGGCUCAACCCCGGACUUGCAGUGGGUACGGGCAGACUAGAGUGUGGUAGGGGAGACUGGAAUUCCUGGCGUAGCGGUGAAAUGCGCAGAUAUCAGGAGGAACACCGAUGGCGAAGGCAGGUCUCUGGGCCGCUACUGACGCUGAGGCGCGAAAGCGUGGGGAGCGAACAGG